rnacentral:SRP_RNA from 1 species
CUGCGCAGCCGGGGAGAUAGCGGUGCCCUGUACCUGCAAUCCGCUACAGCAGGGGUGAUGCCAAUCUGAGGGCUUCUCUUUGCGAAGCUGCCUCCUAUAAGUGGCGUUGACGUCUGGGUCUUACGCAACAGGAAUCUGUGAACCGUGUCAGGGCAGGAAUGCAGCAGCACUAAGCAGAACCUUCUGUGUGCCGUAAGGGUGCCUGGGCUGAGUUAACUGUAGAGGUAACGUCUGUGGGAGAGCUUCAAAGGGCGGCGCACGG